UCCCAGAGGGUGGAGGGUGUUAGGAUCAGGAAGGCACAGCCUGAAGCUAGAGUGGCAAGUGAGGCUCCUCCCAGCGGAGCCCGAGGGGCAUCUGCAGCCCGAAUUUAUUCUUCGCAGGGAGGUAGAGAGGGGACAUCUCCUUGCAGACCGCCCGUCCGCUUGGUGGUCCUGCGGCUCCCAUGGGCACAGGGCGUGGCGGGGCUGUUCCAUCUCUCCCUGGAGAGGAUUCCGGCCCCGAUAGAUGGGAUGCUGGCAAAGCACUGUUCCCCUGCUUCCUGCCUCGGGACUGACUGGAACUUCUGAGGUUCUCCGUCUUGGGGCCCCCCAGACCUGUGCUGCCCUCUGUCAACCUGCUCACCCAGAGAUGGAGCUUAUACCUUGCUGCCGAAGACUGUCAAGGAGGCGGCUGAAGAUACCCCGGUGGGACCGGCCAUCUGGGAAUCUUUGCAAGUACUUUUGAUGAUGCAUCAGCAUGAAUUUUCUUCCGCUUGGGAAAUGCCUUCAAGAUACCCCUGGGAUCCAUUGAAGUAUGGCUGGAUCCCGGCCUAUUGGAGGGUUGGUCAGGGCUGCUGCACGUGGAAAUCCAGAAUUGAGGCCCUCCAACCCCUUUGCCUAUGGAGGGAGAAGGAAGGUUCACUAUUUAUUCCCAGACGGCAAGGAAAUGGCUGAAGAAUAUGACGAGAAGACGAGUGAACUACUUGAAAGGCCUGAGUGUGGACUGAUGGGCAGACAGGAGGACCUCACUUGAGCCACUGUGCCC
rnacentral:sRNA from 1 species